rnacentral:rRNA from 1 species
GUGUCAGCCGCCGCGGUAAUACGUAGGUGGCGAGCGUUGUCCGGAAUCAUUGGGCGUAAAGAGCGCGUAGGUGGCUUGUCAGGUCUGAUGUGAAAUCCUGGGGCUCAACUCCAGAACUGCAUCGGAAACCGGCUUGCUAGAGUCUGGGAGAGGAGAGUGGAAUUCCUGGUGUAGCGGUGAAAUGCGUAGAUAUCAGGAGGAACACCGGUAGCGAAGGCGGCUCUCUGGAACAGUACUGACGCUGAGGCGCGAAAGCUAGGGGAGCGAACAGGAUUAGAUACCCUGGUAGUCCUAGCCGUAAACGAUGGACACUAGGUGUCGGGGGUGUCGACUCCCUCGGUGCCGAAGCUAACGCAUUAAGUGUCCCGCCUGGGGAGUACGGCCGCAAGGCUAAA